rnacentral:rRNA from 1 species
GUGGAUUAGAUACCCUAGUAGUCCUAGCCGUAAACUAUGAGUACUGAAUUGAAGGGUCCUUCAUAGCCCUUCAGUUGUAGCGAAAGUGUUAAGUACUCCGCCUGGGGAGUAUGGUCGCAAGGCUGAAACUCAAAGAAAUUGACGGGGGCUCACACAAGCGGUGGAGGAUGUGGCUUAAUUCGAGGCUACGCGAAGAACCUUAUCCUAGUCUUGACAUGCACGGAUUAACUCUUGGAAACAGGAGCCAGGCCUUCGGGUACAACGUGCACAGGUGCUGCACGGUCGUCGUCAGCU